AUUGAACGCUGGCGGCAUGCUUUACACAUGCAAGUCGAACGGUAACAGGCCGCAAGGUGCUGACGAGUGGCGAACGGGUGAGUAAUGCAUCGGAACGUGCCCAGUCGUGGGGGAUAACGCAGCGAAAGCUGCGCUAAUACCGCAUACGAUCUAUGGAUGAAAGCGGGGGACCGUAAGGCCUCGCGCGAUUGGAGCGGCCGAUGUCAGAUUAGGGAGUUGGUGGGGUAAAGGCUCACCAAGCCAACGAUCUGUAGCUGGUCAGAGAGGACGACCAGCCACACUGGGACUGAGACACGGCCCAGACUCCUACGGGAGUGAGAAGUGGGGAAUUUUGGACAAUGGGCGCAAGCCUGAUCCAGCAAUGCCGCGUGCAGGAAGAAGGCCUUCGGGUUGUAAACUGCUUUUGUACGGAACGAAACGGUCCUGGUUAAUACCUGGGGCUAAUGACGGUACCGUAAGAAUAAGCACCGGCUAACUACGUGCCAGCAGCCGCGGUAAGAC
rnacentral:rRNA from 1 species